CAAAUACUGAGUACAGCUCCAGAAAUAAGAAAAGUAGUCCUUAUUGGUCCAGGAUUGAAGAAACGGAAAUGUAAGCUAUCGAGCUGUAUUGCUUAACUGAUGUAAGCCUAUGAAAAGCAGAAUAGCCAACAGCUGUGGGACUGAGGCUGUCUACAUACAUCCUGAUAUGCAUCCUGGUGCUCUGAAGUCACAGAAUUAAAAUAUAUCCUUUCUGUGAAAGGUACAUUUUGUACCUGUGAUCAGACAACAAGUGAUGGUCCUGUAUUGAAGAUUGAAGUCUGCUGUUGGAGAUCAAACAACUAAUAAAAGAUGAGAGAAACCUCUGGUUCAGAUUUGUUGACACCAAAAACUACUGCUGAAGAAAAACAGGACAUACACCAAAUAUUGCAACAACCCUGCAGGUUUUACCAUGGUAUUUUUCUAAAAAUGAAGUGCUUUUAUUUGAAGACAACAAAGUACAUAUUUGAAAAGAGUUGCCAUCAUUAAAACAUAAUUAGAGUUGUGAAGCCACUAAGCAUCUUAAAUUGUGGCACAGUACAAUAUUUAUCAGGCUUCAGAACACAAUCACAUCUACGGCCAUCCUGCCAUGUUUUGUUUUUUCACUCAGCAAGAUUACCCAUCUGUCACAGUUUAGUGGAGUUAAACUUACCAUCUCUUUAUGUGACAUAUUCUGAGGUGGAAGAGUAGGGAUUAUAGGGUUGCACUGAAGACCAAGCCAACAAAAUGCCAAGAAAACACAUGCACUUAAGCAUUCCUUUAGAAAGAUUUUUUAUUUUUUUAAUUUUAUUUUUUUUUGCUGUUAAAGAAUAAUGGAGCUAAUACGAAACUUUGACAGGCAUAAACCUAAUGAAUAAUUCUGAUAGUGCAAUCUACAGGUGACUCGCAAGCAGUAAAUCGAAUGGUGUUAAUUUAAUGCAAGAAAUGAUCUUUAAAAAGCCAGAAAAAAAGGCAAAUGUAUAAUUCAUAUGGCUAAUAUUUGAGGUAUUUUGUACGCAAGUCUUCAUGUUUCCUGUGUCUACAUGUGCAUAUUCUUUUCACGUGGGUUAAAAAUAAAAAAGUACAAAUGACCUUCA
rnacentral:lncRNA from 1 species